GGUGAGAGCUGGGGGAGGAGUGAUUUUACAGCACAGUGACAUGAUCCCAGACAUUCUCCAUUCUCCUGGAACUGUGUCUUAGGAAAAAUAGGGAGCAGAAUACGUAAAAUACUCCAUUGUGUAAAAACAAACAAAAAGACAUCAGUGACUGACCUUUCUAAGACAAUUAAACAUCGUGGGUGACACUGCACUGCAGCUUCCCUUCCUUGCUGAGGAAUAUGAUGGCCUGUUAGAAAUGUUGGAACUGGAUGAUGCUUCAGUCAUGCCAUGGUGUGAAAACACUCGCUCUGCCCAGACCGAAUCAUCCUGCCCUGAGCUGCCCUUUUCACACUGUGAUUACAAGGAGGUUAGCCCAACUGAACUGGAGUUAUACAAUCUGCAAAGCUAUUGAAAUGACCUCAGUAACCUCAAAGAGAAGAUGAUUUUAAGUGGAUCACCUAAGUGGAUAACGACAAAAUUAGUCUCUGCUGUCAGGAAACCAGAAGCACCUUAGUUAAGAAUUUGAGAUGAUGCAAAAAGGAAACAGUUCAGCUUGUUUUCACUGGUCGCUUGGUGAGAUACCCAUGCAACUGGCAAGAGUUGUUCUUUUAAAAUGCCAUGUUCUGGGAAAUGUAAUGGAACUUUGCCUAUGGAAUCAGUCUGAGCUACAAGAAGUACAGCAGAAUCCAAGAACUGGGAUGGAGAACUGAACAGGAAGAGUAAGGUCUGGAAGAAGCUGGUAUUCCUGAAAAUUAUGUGAGCAGUUCUACCAAAUGCCAAAAAGUCACAUCUAAGAUUUUUGUGACAGUACAAAAUGAUGCAAUCAAGAGGUAGAAAAUAUUUUUGAAACAGUUAAUGAUUUGUGUAUUGUUGGACCCAACAAGAGUUAUUGGAUUUUAAGCAAGAUUAAAUUAGGAUUUUGUACACAAAACAGGAAAAUCCAUUUAAAAAAUCAACUGUACAAAAUAUUCAACCAAGAUGAAAAAUUUAUGACUGAAAAUGAAGGGAGGACUAGACAGUUUCCAUUUGCGUCAGUUCUUUGCUUGCCACAGAAGCUGACUAGAAAAUAGCUUUCACAUAUUUUAGGUCCAGUUCAGCAUAGCAAACUGUAUCUGUCUUUAAAAUAACAACACAAACCCCCAAAUCCUUCCUUUUCAGAAUUCAACAUAUUGUACUCUAUAAAUUUUGAUUUAGGUGCAUUUCAGCAUAUGUCCUUAUUUAGUUCAAUGAACAGUCACAAACAGAUGGUGUUUCCAGUUUCUAGAGGUGAGGAAUUUCAUUAGGGCUAUGGGAUAAGAUCCUAGGUACCUAAACUAAAUAUUUAUGUUAGAUAGUUUCCUCACAGAGCUUCAGAAAACAGUUUUCUUUUUAAUUAUAGAAGUAACUGAACCAUAGCAAAUAUAAGUUUUGUGUUCUAGCAAGAAUGCUGUAAGUACUGUUAAUGUCUUAAUUUAUUCCCGGAGUGUGAUACAAGACUCCAUUUCAGGAAUUCUGCUACUCCUUUAUAAUAACUAUUGUUUUUCAAUAAAUUAAUCUAUUUGUUUCUGCUUUA